CAGUGGGCCAUAAACAAAGGCCGACUGCGGAGCUGAGCAGAUUCCAGGCUGGCCAUCUGGAACACCUGCAGCUGGCCCAGUGUGGGGCCGUGCGCCAGUCCAAACGGCCCAGCUGGAGAAUUCUCUGCCUCUGCCACCGCCGCCAUUGGCAAGAAAGCAUCACCGUCCUCGCUGGCUGUCAGCGCUUUCUCUAUUGGUCAGAAACCGAAAAGUGGGCCCCAGGACCGUGUGCAUCAGCAUGCCCGGAUAGGUCCCCAGAGAACAGAGCUCAAGCCUCGUCCUCCAACACCAGAGGUGCCAGAUGGUCAUUACGGGGCAGCUCAACCUAUGACCUACAGUGGAGUGGUUAGUGCUGGGCUGUAUCUUCUGUUCCAGCACAGAAGGUCACAGGGACACGGGGCAACAGAGGCAGCUCUUUCAGGCUGGGAGAAUAGCCUUCCUCCCUGUCUCAACCCAACCAGAGAACCCCAGCUUCCUUUUGUAGCCAUAGAAAUGAAGAUGGGAGCACUGCUGCAGAAAUUCAGCAUCACACGAGUUGCCUUCCAGCCAACUCCGUGAAGCGUUGGUUAAGACCUACAGAGAAGUCCAAGCCAGGAGGUCUUGCUGUCAUCAAAGACUGCUCUGUGCUCUGUGAACUCCUUUCUGACCACCACCCCUCACUCAGAGCCACUCAAGUCCUCUCUCUCAGCAACACUGACUGUGCUCCCUGGUCAUCAGACUCCACCUGAAGCUGUUCUCUGUCCUUGCCCUUGUGUCACUGCGUCUGUCGGUCACACUAGCAAGUCCUCAAGGCAGGAAACCCACCAUCUGCUUGUCUAGCAUUGCUUCCCCACGUGGAUUAACGCAGUACUGAGCUCACAGUAAACCCAAGGCCAUAAAUAUUUAUAGAAUUCACUAAUAUAUUUGGAGAUAAGAUAUUUCCUGGCCUCCAAAUGUGAAUCUCUGGGCUUUAUUUCAC
rnacentral:lncRNA from 1 species